rnacentral:miRNA from 1 species
GCGUCAAAAUGACUGUGAGCU